AGAAAUUUCAAACCCCGUCUACGGUGCUGCUAACAAAAAAAACUACUAGGCAAGCUUCAUAAAUUAGAAAGAGAUGAAUUUUGGCUUUUCUCACAAAUAGAAAACAGAUGUAUAUGAGAGAAGGAUAGGAAGACGAAGAGAGCGAAAGUUCGACCUCGCACCUCUUUAAACUUUCAGCGAAAUCGGCACACCAAGUGUUUGUGGAAAGCUCUAAGAGAGAGAAACUUGAAGUUAGAAGGUAGAAGAAGCUCAUGAAUCUGUAAACCAUUUUAAGAAGUGUAGCGAAAAUAAACACUGUUCUAAAUACAGAAAUCAUAAGAAGCUAUAUCAAGGUACUCUCAAUUUCUAAAAAACCACCCAUCUUGAUUAUAGGAGAAUGUUUUGUUUCUUUUUUUUUCCCUGCUAGCAGUUCAUAAUUGCAAAACAGAUACUUGUCUUCAGGUUUGACAUUCACAGCGUCUGGAAUUGUAAUCAUCAUAAUGUGUCUGAAAUCGGUGAUGUAGUGUUAUUUGCUGGUAUUUUUUUACAUGAUGUGUUGUUGGUACCAAACUUUAAAUAUGAUCUCUUAUCUGUUGAGAAGUUGGUUGCUCAUAGCAAGAUUAAUGCUCAUUUUAAUGAACAUAAUUGUACUUAUCUAUCUUCUGUCAACAAGAAACUUGCUUUUGGUAAUAAGGUUGGAGGUGUGUAUUUUUUGAAUGUCUUCAUGGUUGGUCCUUCCAUCCAAUUCAUUCAUUCUUAUCCUAUCUCUAUUGCAGUCAAUACCUCACAUAAAUUAUCUUUAGAUACUCUUCAUGCUAGAUUAGGACAUAAUAGGAGUACUGUAAUUUUCUCUCUUUUUUUCUAUGUUGUUGAUGGUGUACGUUUACUAACUAUUAUAAUGUUUGAA